CUACAAAGGAAUUGACGGGACCGCACAAGCAGCGGAGCGUGUGGUUCAAUUCGUUGCUACACGAAGAACCUUACCUGGGUUUGACAUAUAGGUUGUAGGGAACUGAAAGGGACCGACCCUUCGGGGAGCCUAUACAGGUGUUGCAUGGCUGUCGUCAGCUCGUGUCGUGAGAUGUUCGGUUAAGUCCGCUAACGAGCGCAACCCUCGUCGUAUGUUAUAUGUGUCAUACGAGACUGCCGGUAAAAGCCGGAGGAAGGUGAGGAUGAUGUCAAGUCAGCAUGACCUUUAUAUCCAGGGCUACACACACGCUACAAUGGUCUGUACAAUGGGUAGCCAAGCCGCGAGGCGGAGCCAAUCCUGAAAGCAGGCCUCAGUUCAGAUUGCAGUCUGCAACUCGACUGCAUGAAGCCGGAGUUGCUAGUAACCGCAGGUCAGCAAUACUGCGGUGAAUACGUUCCCGGGUCUU
rnacentral:rRNA from 1 species